rnacentral:rRNA from 1 species
UUGGAGGGCAAGUCUGGUGCCAGCAGCCGCGGUAAUUCCAGCUCCAAUAGCGUAUAUUAAAGUUGUUGCAGUUAAAAAGCUCGUAGUUGAAUUUCGGGGUCAGCAAGUUGGUCGUGCCACUGGUAUGCACUGGCUUUGCUGAUUCCUCCUUCUUGUAGAACCGUAAUGCCAUUAAGUUGGUGUUGCGGGGAAACAGGACUGUUACUUUGAAAAAAUUAGAGUGUUUAAAGCAGGCUAACGCUUGAAUACAUUAGCAUGGAAUAAUGAAAUAGGACGACGGUCCUAUUUUGUUGGUUUCUAGGGUUGACGUAAUGAUUAAUAGGGAUAGUUGGGGGCAUUAGUAUUCAAUUGUCAGAGGUGAAAUUCUUGGAUUUAUUGAAGACUAACUACUGCGAAAGCAUUUGCCAAGGAUGUUUUCAUUAAUCAAGAACGAAAGUUAGGGGAUCGAAGACGAUCAGAUACCGUCGUAGUCUUAACCAUAAACUAUGCCGACUAGGGAUCGGAUGAUGUUAAUUUUAUAAUGACUCAUUCGGCGCCUUACGGGAAAC